UGAACCUCUAAAUUCAGUACC
rnacentral:piRNA from 1 species